rnacentral:rRNA from 1 species
CCUACGGGGGGCUGCAGUGGGGAAUAUUGGACAAUGGGGGGAACCCUGAUCCAGCCAUGCCGCGUGUGUGAAGAAGGCCCUCGGGUUGUAAAGCACUUUCAGUGAGGAAGAACGCCUGGUGGUUAAUACCCAUCAGGAAAGACAUCACUCACAGAAGAAGCACCGGCUAACUCCGUGCCAGCAGCCGCGGUAAUACGGAGGGUGCGAGCGUUAAUCGGAAUUACUGGGCGUAAAGCGCGCGUAGGUGGCUUGAUAAGCCGGUUGUGAAAGCCCCGGGCUCAACCUGGGAACGGCAUCCGGAACUGUCAAGCUAGAGUGCAGGAGAGGAAGGUAGAAUUCCCGGUGUAGCGGUGAAAUGUGUAGAGAUCGGGAGGAAUACCAGUGGCGAAGGCGGCCUUCUGGACUGACACUGACACUGAGGUGCGAAAGCGUGGGUAGCAAACAGGAUUAGAUACCCCGGUAGUC